rnacentral:rRNA from 1 species
CCUACGGGCGGCUGCAGUGGGGAAUAUUGGACAAUGGGCGAAAGCCUGAUCCAGCCAUGCCGCGUGUGUGAAGAAGGCCUUCGGGUUGUAAAGCACUUUCAGUGGGGAAGAAAGCCUUGGGGCUAAUACCCUCGAGGAAGGACAUCACCCACAGAAGAAGCACCGGCUAACUCCGUGCCAGCAGCCGCGGUAAUACGGAGGGUGCGAGCGUUAAUCGGAAUUACUGGGCGUAAAGCGCGCGUAGGCGGUCUGAUAAGCCGGUUGUGAAAGCCCCGGGCUCAACCUGGGAACGGCAUCCGGAACUGUCAGGCUAGAGUGCAGGAGAGGAAGGUAGAAUUCCCAGUGUAGCGGUGAAAUGCGUAGAGAUCGGGAGGAAUACCAGUGGCGAAGGCAGCCUUCUGGACUGACACUGACGCUGAGGUGCGAAAGCGUGGGUAGCAAACAGGAUUAGAUACCCCAGUAGUC